UGAUGGAUGUUUUAAAGAAUGGAUGGAUGGCCACGAAAAUUACUGCAAGACUAAUGAAUCUGAUGCAAAUGAUUAGCCAUGUGUUAAUUGUUUUCAUGGGUGCAAAUGAUUACUUACUGCAGGUUUUAGACACCCAUUGGAAUUUUAGGAGCUCUUAUUUCGUGUGUACAAGAUUCAUUUAGGAAGUUGAGGGAUUGGGGAAAAGAAGAUGGAGUGAAGAAAUAUAGCAAUAGUGUUCUGUCACUAUAG